rnacentral:rRNA from 1 species
UACGGGGGGGGGUAAGCGUUGUUCGGAAUUACUGGGCGUAAAGGGCGCGUAGGCGGCGUGUCAAGUCGCGUGUGAAAGCCCCCCGGCUCAACUGGGGAGGGUCACGCGAUACUGAUCGACUCGAAGGCAGGAGAGGGUAGUGGAAUUCCCGGUGUAGUGGUGAAAUGCGUAGAUAUCGGGAGGAACACCAGUGGCGAAGGCGACUACCUGGCCUGUUUCUUGACGCUGAGGCGCGAAUGCUAGGGGAGCAAACGGGG